UCUUGUCUACGAACCGUGAUGAUGUACUAUGUACUUGUACUUUUGAAAGUCUUUUGUUCUACUUGUUUGUUAGUUUUUUUUUGUAGACUUUUACUUUGUACUAGAAUUAUAAUCUAUAGUGCUAGCAAAAGACUGUUCUGAAGUUUUUAAAAAUUAUUUACAAAGUGAUUUUAUUUGUGUAAACAUAAAACUGAAAUAAUUGACAAAUAAAAUGGAAGUGAAACAAGAAGCUAGUGUGCAAACUUGUAAAACAGACACAGAUAAUGAAACCUAUGAUGAUGGUCCUUUGGAUUUCUUCAAAAUUGAAGUUAAAGAAGAACCUAAGACUGAAAGUGUAUACGAGGAUUAUGUGGUAGUCUUAAAAACUGAAGUAGAACAAGAUGAACAUAAAUUUACACCAUUUGAAGAAAAGCAAACAACAAAUGAAAAAAGUUAUUCCCAAGAGGAGAGCAAAUUGGAAAUUAUCGAGAUACUACCUAAACAUUCAUCUGAUAAAGCAAAUUUCAUGAGUCGACAAGAUGGAGGAACAGCAUUAGAUCAAAAUAUGACUGUUGCGAAUGGAGAGAGACAUUAUCAAUGCGAAGUUUGUUUUAAGAAGUUUUCUCGAAAUGAGCGUUUAAAAAAACAUUUGAGAGUGCACACAGGGAAAAAACAAUACAAGUGUAAAACUUGCUUAAAACAGUUUCGUGGUGCAAGUGAUUUGAAAGUACAUUUAAGAGUGCACACUGGAGAUAAACCAUACAAGUGUGAAACUUGCUUGAAACAGUUUCGUGGUGCAAGUGAUUUGAAAGUACAUUUAAGAGUGCACACUGGAGAAAAACUUUACAAGUGCGAGAUUUGUUUUAAGCAAUUUAGUCAAGCAUGUAAUUUGAAAACACAUUUGAGAGUGCACACUGGGGAAAAACCGUACAAGUGUGAAACUUGCUUAAAACAGUUUCGUACUACAAGUGAAUUGAAAACACAUUUGACAACGCACACUGGAGAAAAACUUUACAAGUGCGAGAUUUGUUUUAAGCAAUUUAGUCAAGCAUGUAAUUUGAAAACACAUUUGAGAGUGCACACUGGGGAAAAACCAUACAAGUGUGAAACUUGCUUAAAACAGUUUCGUACUACAAGUGAAUUGAAAACACAUUUGACAACGCACACUGGAGAAAAACUUUACAAGUGCGAGAUUUGUUUUAAGCAAUUUAGUCAAGCAUGUAAUUUGAAAACACAUUUGAGAGUGCACACUGGGGAAAAACCGUACAAGUGUGAAACUUGCUUAAAACAGUUUUGUACUUCAAGUGACAUGAAAAAACAUUUUUUAAGAGUGCACAUUGGAGAAAAACUUUACAAGUGCGAGAUUUGUUUUAAGCAAUUUAGUCAAGCAUGUAAUUUGAAAAAACAUUUGAGAGUGCACACUGGGGAAAAACAAUACAAGUGUGAGAUUUGCUUUAAACAGUUUAGUGAGGCAGGCCAUUUGAAAGCACAUUUAAGAGUGCACACUGGAGAAAAACCUCACAAGUGCGAGAUUUGUUUUAAACGUUUUAGUAGAGCAGAUAAUUUAACAACACAUUUGCGAGUGCACACUGGGGAAAAACCAUACAAGUGUGAAACUUGCUUAAAACAGUUUCGUUUUGCAAGUGAUCUGAAAGUACAUUUGAUAGGGCACACUGGGGAAAAACCUCACAAGUGUGAAACUUGCUUAAAACAGUUUUGUACUUCAAGUGAAGUGAAAAGACAUUUUUUAAGAGUGCACACUGAAGAAAAACCUUGUGAGUGCAACAUUUGUUUAAAACAGUUUAAUACUACAAGUAAAUUGAAAACACAUUUGAGAACGCACAGUGGAGAAAAACUUUACAAGUGCGAGAUUUGUUUUAAGCAAUUUAGUCAAACAAGUAGUUUGAAAACACAUUUGAGAGUGCAUACUGGGGAAAAACCAUACAAGUGUGAGAUUUGUUUUAAACAGUUUAGUGAGGCACACCAUUUGAAAACACAUUUGAGAGUGCAUACUGGGGAAAAACCAUAUAAGUGUGAGAUUUGUUUUAAACAGUUUAGUGAGGCAGGCCAUUUGAAAACACAUUUGAGAGUGCACACUGGGGAAAAACCUCACAAGUGUGAAAUUUGUUUGAAGCAAUUUAGUCAAGCAAUUAGUUUGAAAACACAUUUGAGAGUGCAUACUGGGGAAAAACCAUAUAAGUGUGAGAUUUGUUUUAAACAGUUUAGUGAGGCAAGCCAUUUGAAAAGACAUUUAAGAGUGCACACUGAAGAAAAACCUUACGAGUGCGAGAUUUGUUUAAAACAGUUUCGUACUACAAGUGAUUUGAAAACACAUUUGAGAACGCACACUGAAGAAAAACCUUACAAAUGCGAGAUUUGCUCUAAGCAGUUUUCUCAGAAACGUCAUUUGAAACGUCAUUUGAAAGUACAUACUAGAAGAGAUCUUGACGAGAACACGUCGGAACAUCAUUAACGAGAACAUGUCCAUAUAAUAAUAUAAAUAAUAGGCAGAUGGGACAAAUCGAGGGAAGCUAUCCAAACAACAUGCACGACUAUAGUAAAGCGUGACAGACAACAAGAAAGAAUGGAUGUAUGGUGAGAUCAUGGAUAUGAUGCAUCCUUUUCUUUGGGUGCCGUCUUCUUAGUGAAGGUUGGCGAUGACUUCUGCAAAGUCUUCUCUAUUUUGGGCUUUUCUUAUUAGACUUUGAAAGUCUAAUUCUGUCCAUUCUUUAAUGUUCCGCAGCUAGGUCAUUGCCGUCUACCCGGGCCGCGUCUUCUUUUUAUUUUCCCUUCCAUAAUAAGUUGAAGGAUUUAUACCUGUCGUGUCUAAAUAUGUGUCCAAGGUAAGAUGUUUUACGUUUCUUGACAAUUUCAGUGAGUUCACGUUCUCUAUUCAUAUACCUUAAAACUUCUUCAUUUCUAACGCGAUCGGUCCAUGGAAUUUUCAGCCUACGACCAAAUACCCACAUCUCAAAGCUCGUCCAAGCUUCCACGCCGUGUAAUAGUACGCUAUAUAGAUAACACUUUAUCAUGCGGUGUUGUAGGGACAGAUCAAGAUUGCGGGCAGUGAGUAACUGUCGUAACUUUAAGAAGGUGUUUCCUGCCUGUUCUAUUCUACAUUUAAUCUCUUGUUCUUGCUCUAAGGUUUCAUGUAUCCAAAAUCCUAGAUACUUAAACUUUUUCACUUGUUCAACGAGAUUGUUGUUGACUAGGAUGUUUAUAACUGUUGUUUGCUUUUUUGAAAUUACCAUUGUUUUAGUUUUUUUUUUAAAUUCACUUUAAGGCCAUAUAGUUCUCCUUCUCGCACUACUUUGGUUAACAGAGUUAAUAUAAUGCAUGAAAGACGCAAAUUCAAGAAUAAAAAUGCAGAAAAAUAUCAGCAGAUAUAAUAUCAUACGAAAUAUUAAAGAUCCUUUGUAAAUCAGACAAACAAUUCCUUGAUAAUCUAGUUGUACUUUUGAACAACAUAUUAUAUAAUCGCGGUAAAAUCCCGGAGAACUGACUGCAGUCGACAUUGAUUACAAUCCCGAAGAAACCAAAUGUCCAGCUCUGUGAUGACUAUCGAUUUAUAAGCUUAUCAAUCGUAUCACUAAAGCGUUCACCAAGAUCAUUCGUAGAAGAAUAUAUAUAAUAAAUGUGAGUCAAAUAUUGACAGAUCGCAGUAUGGUUUUCAAAAAGCACUUACAUAGAACUAGAGAGGCAAUUUUCGCUCUCCAGGUGCUUAUACAGCGGUGUAGAGAUGUUCAUAAGGAUGUGUAUUUGUGCUUUGUUAAUUAAAAUCUUUUUAUAUACUUGGCGUGGUUGGUGUCACGGACUCCGCAAAUUUUGUAAUCCAUUUUAAAAAUAGUUCGAGGCUACCUAGUAGACACCUGAAAUUUUCAGGAUAGCUUAGAACUAGCUAACAAUGCAAUAUUUAACUGCUAUUAUACAGGGUGAUUAAUUAUAUAGUGGGGUGAGGCUCCGUAGAUCCGGUAUAGUAAUGUAUAGCGAUAAAACUUAAUAACAAAAAUUGUAGCGAACUUUGAGCUUUAUAUUACAAAAUUAGUUAGAAUGUUACAGGGUGUUCGAUAACAUAGUGGCAGACCAAACUUAUGUUUUUUUAAAUAGAACACCCUGUAUUUUAUUUUAUAUUCGAAAUCUUUGUAACUUUUUGAUUACAAAAAUAUAAAGGUUUGGUAUAUUAUACGGGGUAUUUUCAAAGUUAUAACCAAUUUUCUAUGAAAAUCGUAACAAGUUUAACUACAUGUAUAAAUAAAAGCAAGCACAAUUUCAAUGAUUUAUUGACGUCAUAUUUUUUUAUUUAUUGUCAAAAUUUUCGUAAAUGUUUGUAUUGCUAAUUUUCAUUAUAUUGAAUACAGGGUGAGUCAAAACGCAAGUACAUUAUUUUCUCAGUAAUUUUAAAUAGAUUACCCUGUAUUUUAUAUCAUUAUCGAAAAGUACCAUUACUAUACUAUAAUUUUUGUAUAAUAUUCCCUAUGUGUAAAUUUAUUAGUUUUCGAGAUAUUUUCAUUUUUCAGAGCAAAAUUAUUAAUAAUUACGGGUCUAAAUCUUUCCAAAUUUUAAGUAAGCCAUGGCUGAAUAAUUGUCUAAAAUUUACAAUUUACGAUUACUGAUUAUCAAUCUGUAAUCAAAGUUGGCUACAAUUUUAUUACUAUCUAUUACUUAUAACGGAUCUACAAAGCUUUACCCCACUGACCAAUCACACUGUAUGGAUAAAUCGAUUUUUUUUAAAUUUCAAACUAUUUUAAAAAUGUGACGAAUGCAAUGAUAUUUUAAAGUACGUUAAUAAAUCGAUAUCUACAAAUUGAUGGUGCCUCAGUGGCAUUAGACUGCACAUCGAGAGGUCCCAGUUGGAACCCGGCUGUUGCGUAUCUUUUUUUAAAUUGUUUUAAUAAAUAAUUAAAAGUUUAUAUACUUAAAAUUAUAUAUACCAUUUUAAACAACCGUGGUAUGAUAAAAAAUACUAUUUUAUACUAGUGUAAUUUUUAGAAUCAUAAUUAUAAAUAACAGUUAAUACAUCCAAUAAAAAUUAAUAUUUUGUCAUGUUGUGUCCUACAUAUAUGUACAUGUACAAUAACAAAACCUUGAUAUUAUAAAAUAUUUAUUUAUGAAACAGUUCGUGAAGUAUGCUUUUUGCGAACGCACGCAAUUUUUAGAGCACGAGCGACAACGGAGCGGGUGCUAUAAAUUGCGUAAGUUCGCA